rnacentral:tRNA from 1 species
GAGGGUAUAGCUCAGGGCAGAGCGCAUGCUUAGUAUGCACAGCAUCCUGGGUUCAAUUCCCAGUACCUCCA